AUCGCUCUCAUUUGGUUUAAUGAUUUUUCCCAUCCAAUAUUUGUAUGUAGAGGCCGAACUCAAACCUGAGAUGUGUGGGCCAAACCUCCGGUUUCAUACCUGUAUGAACUUCAGGACACCACCAAUCGAGUACAGCACAGCCCACCAAUAAAGGUCAUGGUUGAAGGCUUAAUGACUCCUUGGGAAUGAGCUGAUCCAUCGUCCUCGUCCUUGAUGAGAGAAAACGACGGGUUCUGCAUUUAAACGUCUCAAUUGGGAUUCUACGGUGUUUACUCGAGUGCCAAGAACACAGGAUCAUUGGGAGAUGAUGAGCGAGAACAAGGGAUGAAAGUUGUGUGGAAAUGAUCUUCAGAGAGCGAUCAUUUACUCCAUUCUGGGUUCGGCUAGUGGCAGGAAAUUAAUGUGAGAGGAAACCUAACUCUCGUCUCGGCGACCGAAGUGCAACAAAAUAACUCCCCAUGAAUCUCUUUCGUGACAUGCGGGACUGCUAAUUUGAUCUCUUUGCGGCAGAGUGGAUCCAUCGAACUCGGCGAGCCAAGUGGUUUUCAAACUUGGCAAGGAAAAAACUCUCGAGACUUGGCGUGAUUUUCCGUGGGUGAUUAGAUGUGCGAGCUGGCAUUUACUUCCUUCAAGUGGUGGUUCGCUCCUCCUCAGAAAGAGAUUCAAAUGCGUAUCAAGCAAGUCUGAACCUGACCUAGUUUUCACCGGUGGAUGAGCAAUCACGCGAGUUGCCAUAAAGCUACUGUGGGAAGACGAACAAGAAGCUCAAGUGCUAAUUAAAAUUGCGGGUCUCAAGCGCGAGAAACAUGGGGUUGAAAAGGAUCCGAUGUUGAGUAGUCUUGACUCCCUGAGUUUGACGAUCUUAACAAGGCAUAGGCGACUUUGGGUCUUUUGUGCCAAUCGAGCUUACCUGAAAAGAGAGAAACGAAGAAUAUGAGUCAAAGCUUUCCCCGACUAAUGAAGUUAAAUGGUUAUGCACAAGCAAUAUAAUGAAUGCCCUUUUACUCUAUUCUGAGACUGGUACAGUUUCUCGGUCAUGACAAGGCCCUCACAGCUGGUAGUUCAACAUGUAAUAUAUGAGUCCAUUAGGCUUGAAGGCAGCCAACGCCUCUUUUAUCUUCAAGUAUCUGUUAAUUAAGGACCCGCUGGAAAGACUCUCUCAAGAGAUAACGGAAGCUUGAGUAAACCACUCAACGCGGUUCUUGGACAAACAAACCCCUUCGUGAGAUCUCGAGAAAAAAAGACCUUUCUCAACCAUCUCCUUCAUGGCCUUCACUUAGUAGCUCUGUUGUCAAAGGCCCAUUCUCCAAAAAAACUUUCUUCCUCACUCAGAGAGUCCUAAUCCGUUUAUUCUCCGCAUGGAAUUUGUUUCAUCCAAGCCCGAUAAAUGAGGGGAGAAUUCCGGUUUUCAAGGGACAGUAGUGGAAAUGAAUGAUGAAUAAUGACCUUGAUUCUUCAGGGUCCACGUGCCUCCAACCUCCAAAUGCGGAGUAAUUCAUUUUCCCCAAUCUUGCAUGAUCGAGUGGCCGAUGGAGGCAUGAGACGGGGGAAAAGGCCCUUUAAAAUGGUUUGGUAGCGUGGGAAGAUGCCAAUGGAAUAUCAUAAUUUGUCUGUACAUCUAUCUCGGAGAAAGAUCGAUCCCUUUUAAGGAUGUUUCGAAAUCUGUUCAGGUCUAAAAAUGGAUUUAAACAAGUUAUCCGGGCUUCGUUUGGUGUCCUCCCACUGAUCUAUCCAUGAUGCAAUAAUUCAAGUCGACAAAGAAAAACAUCAUCAGCCAACCCGCUCGCCCUGGGUCCUUUUUUGCGUCAUGAUCAAGUUUAUUUGCAUAUCAUGAUAGGACAAGUGGAAUUGCUUGACUAAAGGAUGUUGUAUAACAUUUGAGCAGGAUGCUCGGAAUGGAUGAUACUGGCCGUACUUCAUCAAACCCUGAUCUUGACAGCAAUGAAGCCACAAAUCCGUUCGCAUCACGGACAUCAAGACAUUUAAUGCAUACAAUCAACCCAACCCUCUAGCAGCUCACAACAACCAACGCAAACAUGAUCUUCCUCAUUUGAUGGAGGCAAAGAUCAAAGGAAUGAUGUGAUUCCCGCUAUUAUCUGAACACAAUGAAUCUGAUUCAAGUACUUAUCGAGCUCUGAUGUGCCAUGCCGAAAUUCCAAGCCAAAUGAGCGUCAUCCUGCUCCUGAGAUGGUGAUUAUGGAUUUAAAGCGCUUCCAAAGCUCAAUCAAACAAAGUCAGGAUAUGAGAACCUGAUCAUUGGGAGGGAGGGUUGAUUGUCUUCCUUGCAAAUGAUUUCCGGCCAAUUCCUAUUAACUCCCUGCAUUGUCUUCCAAAUCGGCAGUCAGUGUCUCCAAAUUAUGGAAGGAAUUUUGUUCUUCCCAUCGUGGUGUUUGGAAUUUUAAAUAGCUCACUCAGCCUCAAUCAAACAUUCUAAACAACUGUAUUGAAUGAGUAUUCGAGUUUUCGAGGUCGAAGCAUACAAUACCCGACUGGCCAUUGUGUUUAUGCGAUUCUUGAGAGGGUUCAUUAGAACCAUAUCAAUUGUUUAAGGAAUCGUUUGCUUUUCUCCAAGGCCUCGCGUGGCAUGAGGUCCGGGUUUAAUAUUCGUCUACGUUGGUUUGGACAAGGAUGACAAACAUGCAAUUCCCAAGAACCCAAUGAUCAUCACCGAUUCAACUUCAAAGCGAGAAGUGUUCACGGAACGACCCGCAGAGAUGAAUGGAUGCGAUGGAUGAAUGCAUCAUUCUCCGUCGUCUGCCAUGGUUCAAAGGCCUGAGAUAUCAGUCAAGGAAGUCCAUCCAUCCGUCCAAAUCCCAAGAUUGAGCAAGAGGAGUCAAGGGGACCGGGGAGGAAAAACUAGUUUGCCCUCCGACUUUCAAGACGGGAUAUUUGAGUCUAUAUUGACUUAAAAAGCAUUCACGGAUGACGACCUUCACGGAUGUCCUGAAAGCCACCUCAUCAAAACGAUUAGUUUGUCCACCAAUCGCUUGUGAUAAAUUUCCCGGACAAGCGUAUCAGACACUCUCUCAGUUCUAACUGAUACGAGAGAAUUGCUUAAGCAAACUCAAAUCCCAUGGACGAAUGAUGGAUGAGCAGAACCCCACAUUCCUGGUUAUAACACACGAAAAUUGGUACUAGCUCUUCGGAAAUCCGGUAAUGACCAAGGUGACCUUCGUCAGUGAUACGUGGACCAUAUCAGCACACACAUCGUCGAUGAGGUCAUGUAGAGAGACUAAUAGUUACUCUUCUCACACGUCAAACUGGUUCUUAUACCUUCGAAGCUCUGAAAAAAGUCCUCCUUCCCCCCCUCGAUGAUUGACCUUCCUAGUCCGACUCCGAAUGCACCUAUCUGCUUUAAACGGGACAUGAAAAUGAAGGGAUAAUGUCUUCCACGACCACUCUCCCCUCGCUCCUCCUACAGACUGAAGAGAAAGCCCAUAAAUACCAGAUUCCGAGGCAACACGUGUUCAAUUUACAUGUCACCCUACAAACGCAAACCUCUCUUGCGAGUUCAAUAGGCCAGUCAAAUCAGUCAUAAGCUGUGAUGGUUGGCCAAGAGCCAUAAACCAUCAUAAUGAGGAAUCCGCCUACAGUAUAGGAGUAAAAUGCGCUGGCGGCUUCUUUUCUUCGUCAGAGAGAGGAUGGAGAGCUGGACUGUCCAAAGAGAAAUUUCAACUUAACGCAAGAUGAGCGCUUGAUUCUUUUUUGUCCGACCCUCCCGAGGAACAAGUCUUCAAAGUCCAAUAAAUCAAAUUGUAACCACAAGGUAUUGUUUCGGCAAGAGGGUGGCAAAAAGCACAUUCUUCCCAAUGAGCAGAACAGUUGGCCUCAAUGAGGGAGAGCGAGAGAAGGAACAAGAAAUCGUCGAGAGGUGUUUUGGGUGCCUCUUCGGUCAUUAACACACGGCAGUUUCUUCGGAUCCCUCCUCCUCGGUGGGUGCCAAUUACCACAUUGUGUCCAGCUGAUUUCAAUUACUUCUGGCUUUUCGAUCUAUCAACAACCAACAGACAGAGACUCUCCGAGGGACGAAGACGAAAUUCAAUGCCACCUUUUGGGUUUUCUCUCAUUGCAACCCACGAGUUCGGUUGAGCAACUCAGACGCCUAACCAUGGCCAUCCAUUGUGCUAAAAUAUAAAAUCCAAUGACUCAAAUGCAUUAAUAAACGUUUACAUUUCUUUC